GCCGACCAGCUAGCCCACCCUAACAAAAACAACAACCCAAUAUAAAUAACCCCAAACACACAAACUACUCCUAUAAACAAACCAUUUUUCCCCCUUAGUAUGGGCGACAGAAAAGGAACUAUUGGAGCGAUAGAGAAAGUACCGCAAGGGAACGCUGAAAGAGAAGUGAAACAACCCAGUAAAGCCUAAAAAAGCAGAGAUUCUA
rnacentral:rRNA from 1 species